UUUCUGUGCAAGAUGAGCCUGUAUCUCCCUGCCCUGAGAUGUUGAAGUUGUGCCGCUGCUUAUGACAGAUCCAGAAGAAGCAGCUUUACAAAAUGGCUCAAACCAGCUUGCUACAGGGAAAGCAGUUUUACUGUAGGGAGUGGGUUUUCCACAAGCUUCAGCACUGCCUCCAGGAGAAAGCUAACUGCAGCAGUAGUGCUGCCAACAAACCAUCUCUUGUAGCGAAUUCUGGGAGUAACACUGUUGGUGUCUCUGGGAAAGGAGCUGCCUGGGGUGUAUUGUUGGUAGGAGGGCCCGGUAGUGGGAAGACGGCGCUCUGUACUGAGUUACUGUGGCCAAGCUCACCUGCAAACCUGCAAAGAGGCUUACAUCGUCAAGCUCUAGCUUUCCACUUCUGCAGGGCCCAAGACUCCGACACACUGUGUGUUGGAGGGUUUAUUAGAGGUUUAGUUACACAAAUCUGCCGCAGUGGACUGAUCCAGGGAUAUGAGGACAAACUAAGAGAUCCUGCUAUUCAAAGUCUCUUGCAGCCUGGGGAAUGUGAAAGGAACCCUGCUGAAGCAUUUAAAAGGUAAAAAAAAAAAAACCCAAACAAAUUAAAAAAACUACAGAAAAUAAAACCCAGAUUAAAAAAAAAAAUACUGGCUUCUGUUUAGGUCUUCCUUCCAAAGAGUCUACUAUGCAGACAGUUUAAAACAUGCUUGUUUCAUGGCUUGUUAUCUCUAUGAGAGCUUGCAGACCUACCAUGGAAAAAUCUAACUUUGUCCUUACAGCUGACAUAAAUAAAUA